rnacentral:rRNA from 1 species
GACGAACGCUGGCGGCGUGCUUAACACAUGCAAGUCGAACGAAGUGGCGAACGGGUGAGUAACGCGUAAUCAACCUGCCCUUCAGAGGGGGACAACAGUUGGAAACGACUGCUAAUACCGCAUACUGAAGGAGGGGAUUGCGUCUGAUUAGCUAGUUGGAGGGGUAACGGGCCACCAAGGCGAUGAUCAGGAGCCGGUCGGCGGGGUGGAACGGCCACAUGGGGACUGAGACAAGGCCCAGACUCCGACGGGAGGCAGCAGUGGGGAAUCUUCCGCAAUGGACGAAAGUCUGACGGAGCAACGCCGCGUGAGUGAUGACGGCCUGCGGGUUGUAAAGCUAUGUUAAUCGGGACGCGGUACCGGAAUAGAAAGCCACGGCUAACUACGUGCCAGCAGCCGCGGUAAUAC